GCUCCGCUCCGGUGCCAUGGCGACCAUAAGGGGACUGAGGCUUCGCUGUCGUGUAGCAGGUGGCGCCGCGGCAGUGGAGAAGCUCCCCAGUCUCGCGAUAACUUAUACACAUGAAAGGAAGCUAAGGAGGUUCCAGAAAGUUGUUGGGAGGUCCUAGAAAAAUCUGGAGAUAAGAGUCUUCUGAAGAGUGAGGCACAACUUGGGAUCUGGGAUCAGAUCCAUCAAGAUACAUGAGAAGCCCAGAGUCUGGCCCAACAACAUACCCAUAAAUCAAUAAUUCAGUGGAGUCUGCUGUUGCAAUUCACAACACUACCAGGCAGGCCACGAUGGCAUACCUGGAAGAGGAAAAGCAGACAAAAGCCUCUGAGCCUGGGACUAACCACUGCCUCUGUCCUCAGCAGGACCCCCAGCAAGGAGACCUGAAGAGAUGAUGCUGGAUCUUCUGGGACCAUUUCCUCUCCUCCUGGUGCUGCUGGGAUCAUGGGGGCCAGUGCCACUUGCUGCUAGUCCUCCAAACCUGAAAGGGCUCAAGGGUUUGAAAGUCAGCGUGUAAGAGCAGGUCCUGUCCAAUGCAAGACAGAAAUGAGUGGGGCCAAUAAUUAGACUUGUAAACCUUCAAACACCGUUCUGCACAGCACCUUCCAGAACGCGGCUGCUACUUGUCUUUUGCCCAAGAAAGAUUGUGAGACUGGACAGAAAAACCGUCACUGGAGUGUGAAUUGUAUUAACAUGACUUACUGCUGUCACUCUGGAGGGACAGUGUGACUGCCGCUACAAGGCUAUGGUCCAGAACCCGUUCUACCUUGUUAAAUUUAACAAGUUUCAGCCAGGUUACCCUCCCAAUAGUAUGCUUCCUGUACACUUAAACAGUACCAGAUCACAGCGCCCUGGAUGGUUUGAUUAGACUACAUUUCCCAUUACUUUGCCUCACACUUGUUUCAGGUUCUCUUGUGCUCCCUUCUGCCUUUUUUUUUUUUUUUCAUUGUUGAUUUCCAUGGUUCCCAUAGAAGAAAGAAGGAGGGGAAUGAGAGAAUUAUGGGGCCAUGAUUCCAGACUAGAGCUGGGGACAAAAACAAAUAGAAUUCCUUUCUGCUUUGGAGCUUUGUGUGUUUUGGAGAAGGGCAAUAGGGAAAGGGGCAAGGAAAGACCCAAGCCCCCAUAUUUUUAAUCUUGGGACAUCAUCCAAGUUUGUGGCAUUCUGUUCACAGUAAUAAAAUCACUUUCUGCUGCAUUUUAA